UCCAACUAAGUCUUCAAGUCUCCAAUCGAAUGGCAGCAGCCUCCAUCUUCAUCUGAAGAAGCUCCCUGCCGGCUACCACUGCCCCUAUUCUGCUCGUGCUUUGUGCUCGCCUCCCAAGCCAAGUCCGGCCGAGUUCCACGCCAAGUCCCUUCGCGUUCAAUGUUCAACGUUCGUUCGUCAUCGCUCAACAUCAAGCCGUCGACGUUCGUCACCCACCGUUCAUCACCAGCUUGUCAAAAUUGCUAAGGCAUGGCCAUAAGUCAUGGUCAAGAUUUAUCAACACCGAUAAUCAGCGUCUUGUAUCCCCCGAGGUCACCGUUCGUCACCGUUCACUGCUACCUGUCAUACUGUUUACCGCUCUCCAGUCCAGUCUCCACAGUAACUCGGAAUAAUACUCACAACCAAAGAUGGAAUGAUGGCAAGAAAAGAGAAAAUUUUGAUUGUAAAGUCAUCGGUGAAGAGAGAAAGACGAGUAAUUUAUGAUUGUGGUUGUAUUUGUAAUUGUAUAAGACAUUUACCUCUA